GGCACAAAUUUGAAGUAAAGUAGAAUUGUAUUAUCAGCUGACCCUACUAAACUACUCUAAUUCGAGUUUGGGCCC
rfam:Haemonchus placei strain MHpl1 genome assembly, scaffold: HPLM_scaffold0005024